rnacentral:rRNA from 1 species
UACGUAGGGGGCGAGCGUUGUCCGGAAUCAUUGGGCGUAAAGCGCGUGUAGGCGGCCCGGUAAGUCCGCUGUGAAAGUCCAGGGCUCAACCCUGGGAUGCCGGUGGAUACUGUCGGGCUCGAGUCCGGAAGAGGAGUGUGGAAUUCCUGGUGUAGCGGUGAAAUGCGCAGAUAUCAGGAGGAACACCAAUGGCGAAGGCAGCACGCUGGGACGGGACUGACGCUGAGACGCGAAAGCGUGGGGAGCAAACAGG